rnacentral:rRNA from 1 species
AUUGAACGCUGGCGGCAGGCCUAACACAUGCAAGUCGAGCGAGCGGCGGACGGGUGAGUAAUGUCUGGGAAUCUGCCUGAUGGAGGGGGAUAACUCCUGGAAACGGUAGCUAAUACCGCAUACCAUCAGAUGUGCCCAGAUGGUAUUAGCUAGUAGGUGGGGUAAAGGCUCACCUAGGCGACGAUCCCUAGCUGGUCUGAGAGGAUGACCAGCCACACUGGAACUGAGACACGGUCCAGACUCCUACGGGAGGCAGCAGUGGGGAAUAUUGCACAAUGGGCGCAAGCCUGAUGCAGCCAUGCCGCGUGUGUGAAGAAGGCCUUAGGGUUGUAAAGUACUGUCAUCGGGGAGGCGUUACCCGAAGAAGAAGCACCGGCUAACUCCGUGCCAGCAGCCGCGGUAAUUC